GACGAACGCUGGCGGCGUGCUUAACACAUGCAAGUCGAACGGAAAGGCCCCCACUUUUUUGGUGGGGGUGCUCGAGUGGCGAACGGGUGAGUAACACGUGGGUGAUCUGCCCUGUACUUCGGGAUAAGCUUGGGAAACUGGGUCUAAUACCGGAUAGGACCAUGGUUUAGUGUCUCAUGGUGGAAAAAUUAUUGUUUUGGUGCAGGAUGAGCUCGCGGCCUGUCAGCUUGUUGGUGGGGUAAUGGCCUACCAAGGCGUCGACGGGUAGCCGGCCUGAGAGGGUGGACGGCCACAUUGGGACUGAGAUACGGCCCAGACUCCUACGGGAGGCAGCAGUGGGGAAUAUUGCACAAUGGGCGCAAGCCUGAUGCAGCGACGCCGCGUGGGGGAUGACGGCCUUCGGGUUGUAAACUCCUUUCGUUAGGGACGAAGCCGCACCUUUUUUGGGUGUGGUGACGGUACCUUUGUUAAGAAGCACCGGCUAACUACGUG
rnacentral:rRNA from 1 species